rnacentral:rRNA from 1 species
ACGAACGCUGGCGGCGUGCUUAACCCAUGCAAGUCGAACGGAAAGGCCCUGCUUUUGUGGGGUGCUCGAGUGGCGAACGGGUGAGUAACACGUGAGUAACCUGCCCUUGACUUUGGGAUAACUUCAGGAAACUGGGGCUAAUACCGGAUAGGAGCUCCUGCUGCAUGGUGGGGGUUGGAAAGUUUCGGCGGUUGGGGAUGGACUCGCGGCUUAUCAGCUUGUUGGUGGGGUAGUGGCUUACCAAGGCUUUGACGGGUAGCCGGCCUGAGAGGGUGUCCGGCCACAUUGGGACUGAGAUACGGCCCAGACUCCUACGGGAGGCAGCAGUGGGGAAUAUUGCACAAUGGGCGGAAGCCUGAUGCAGCAACGCCGCGUGCGGGAUGACGGCCUUCGGGUUGUAAACCGCUUUCGCCUGUGACGAAGCGUGAGUGACGGUAAUGGGUAAAGAAGCACCGGCUAACUACGUG